UCGAAUGAGAGAAUCCAAAUAGAGCAGAAUGGACAUAAGUAGGAGUAUGACUUAAGCAGAUAAUACCAUUGAGCAACACAGUCUAGACCAAAAGUUUACAAGCUUUUAAUGGAGAAUAUUGGGAUCGCCAAAGUAUAGCUUUUAUUUAACACAACAUGACAAAAAACUAUGGAUCUUUCAACUAUCAAAGUCAUGGGAAUGACAAUGUAUCUUUCAUACAUGACAUCAGAUGUACCAGCUCUGAAACAUAAAGUAACCGUUGUACCAACAGUUAAAAAUAGUUUACACAACUUCACAAUAAAAAAAGGUGGCUCGAUAGGGAAGCUUUGGAUCCUGCUUUCCCCUCUUACUUUCAUACUUCUGGUACUUCUCAAAUUUAUUCCAUGGAAUCAAACAUCUGGAAAAAGAAGAGACAAAACAAUUAUGAAAUAGCUAUGACAAGUGCAUGUAACUAAUUAUUUCCCAAGUUGGUGCAUCGAAAUCAUCAUUUGGCAGAGAUAUGUCGCAAGGGGGAAGGCAGAACAGUGGUAGGGGAAACAAUUAAUUAAAAUGAUGUAAUGAUCGGAGGGUCAAAUUACAUGUCAGUGCUUAAAACUGCAAAAGGCUAAGAGCUGGUAACAAUGACUCUGUACCUUUCACAACAAUCAAGCAGCAGCAGCAUGCUGUAGCUCCCUGUCUGCGUGCUCCCUGAUCCUCCUUUCUAGCUCUGGUCUAAAGUGCCUAAUGAGACCCUGCACUGGCCAAGCAGCAGCAUCACCCAAUGCACAAAUGGUAUGCCCUUCAAUCUGUUUUGUCACCUCUUGGAGCAUGUCAAUCUCUUCUAAUUUUGCAUUGCCAACCUUCAUUCUUUCCAUGAUCAUCCAAAGCCACCCUGUGCCUUCCCUACAUGGAGUACAUUGACCACAGCUCUCGUGCUUAUAGAAGUACGAGAGCCUUGCAAUUGCAUCUACAAUAUCAGUUGACUUGUCUAUGACAAUUACAGCAGCAGUCCCCAACCCUGACUGCACAGCUUUGAGUGCAUCAAAAUCCAUUAAUGACAACUUCUUAGACGGAUGUUUUAUCCUGUGGAGGAUCCAUGGUUACUAUCAAUAUUAUAGUGUAUAUGUAAUAGAAAAGGUUUAAGAACAAACCUUUCACAACAAUCAAGCAGCAGCAGCCUGCUGUAGCUCUCUGUCUGCGUGCUCCCUGAUCCUCCUUUCUAGCUCAGGUCUAAAGUGCCUAAUGAGACCCUGCACUGGCCAAGCAGCAGCAUCACCCAAUGCACAAAUGGUAUGCCCUUCAAUCUGUUUCGUCACCUCUUGGAGCAUGUCAAUCUCUUCCAAUUUUGCAUUGCCAACCUUCAUUCUU
rnacentral:lncRNA from 1 species